CCUACGGGAGGCAGCAGUGAGGAAUAUUGGUCAAUGGGCGGAAGCCUGAACCAGCCAAGUCGCGUGAGGGAUUAAGGACCUGCGGGUCGUAAACCUCUUUUGCCGGGGAGCAGUGGUCCGGACGCGUCCGGACCGGGAGAGUACCCGGAGAAAAAGCAUCGGCUAACUCCGUCCCAGCAGCCGCGGUAAUACGGAGGAGGCGAGCGUUAUCCGGAUUGUGUGGGUUUCAAGGGUGCGGAGGCGGGCAUUUAAGCCGGCGGGCCAAUUUCGGGGCUCCACCACGGCCUGCCGUCGGACCUGGGUGCCUUGAGUGGGCGAGAAGUAGGCGGAAUGCGUGGUGUAGCGGUGAAAUGCAUAGAUAUCACGCAGAACCCCGAUUGCGAAGGCAGCAUACCGGCGCCCUACUGACGCUGAGGCACGAAAGUGCGGGUAUCGAACAGGAUUAGAUACCCUAGUAGUC
rnacentral:rRNA from 1 species